rnacentral:tRNA from 2 species
GCGAGCUUCUGGCUGGCAGCUGCCAGGGCUGGCAGCCCCGGCAACUGGCUGGCCAGGUUCAGGCCCUUGAGCUUGUCC